AUGUGGUUAAAUUGGUCGUCAACCAAGCCCGUUUAUGUUAGGACAUGUGGGUCCAACUUAAUUGCUCCUCAAAACAGCUGACCGUGCCCUGCCGCCCGACCGUGCCGGACCCGCCACUCUGCCCCCUCCCCCCUUCUUCUCCGGUGGCGGCGGAUCUUGCGUUCUCAACGGCGGCGGCGGAGCCCUCGUUCUCAACGGCGGCGGAGCCUUCGUCCUCAAAAAAUGGUUGUGAGGGGAGCCCGUGGGCAUACUGAGAUGGAGCCCCCAGAUUCAACUUCGAAUAGAGGGGAUGCUGCCGCUCGGACCUUCGAAUUGACGGUCAAUUUCUUUCCAUCAAAGGCAAAAUUAGUUGAUGGUAGCAUUCAGAACAUUGAGAGAGACACAAUUGUUAAAUGGGAGGUUGAGUUUACAGAGAUUGAUCCACAAGUUCU